GACGAACGCUGGCGGCGUGCCUAAUACAUGCAAGUAGAACGCACAGUUUAUACCGUAGCUUGCUACACCAUAAACUGUGAGUUGCGAACGGGUGAGUAACGCGUAGGUAACCUGCCUGGUAGCGGGGGAUAACUAUUGGAAACGAUAGCUAAUACCGCAUAAUAUUGAUUAUUGCAUGAUAAUUGAUUGAAAGAUGCUAUUGCAUCACUACCAGAUGGACCUGCGUUGUAUUAGCUAGUAGGUGAGGUAACGGCUCGCCUAGGCGACGAGACAUAGCCGACCUGGGAGGGUGAUCGGCCACACUGGGACUGAGACACGGCCCAGACUCCUACGGGAGGCAGCAGUAGGGAAUCUUCGGCAAUGGACGAAAGUCUGACCGAGCAACGCCGCGGUAGUGAAGAAGGUUUUCGGAUCGUAAAGCUCUGUUGUAAGGGAAGAACGGGUGUUGGAGUGGAAAGUUCACACUGUGACGGUAUCUUACCAGAAAGGGACGGCUAACUACGUG
rnacentral:rRNA from 1 species